GUGUCCUUGGCUCACUUGGUAGAGCAUGGUGCUUGCAACGCCAGGGUUGUGAGUUUGAUUCCCAUGGGGGACC
rnacentral:tRNA from 1 species